AUUGAACGCUGGCGGCAGGCCUAACACAUGCAAGUCGAGCGAGCGGCGGACGGGUGAGUAAUGUAUGGGGACCUGCCUGAUGGCGGGGGAUAACUGCUGGAAACGGUAGCUAAUACCGCAUACCAUCAGAUGAACCCAUAUGGGAUUAGCUAGUAGGUGAGGUAACGGCUUACGUAGGCGACGAUCCCUAGCUGGUCUGAGAGGAUUAUCAGCCAAACUGGGACUGAGACACGUCCCAGACUCCUACGGGAGGAAGCAGUGGGGAAUAUUGCACAAUGGGCGCAAGCCUGAUGCAGCCAUGCCGCGUGUAUGAAGAAGGCCGUCGGGUUGUAAAGUACUGUCAGUCGGGAGGCGUUACCUACAGAAGAAGCACCGGCUAACUCCGUGCCAGCAGCCGCGGUAAUAC
rnacentral:rRNA from 1 species